rfam:Syphacia muris strain Valencia genome assembly, scaffold: SMTV_contig0001707
UCGUGCGAUGAUGCUUAACCAUCUUUCGGGGCUGAAGAAUUUGAUGCCAAUUUUUUUACACUGAGCACGU